GCCCAGAUAGCUCAGUUGGAAGAGCACAUGACUCUUGAUCUUGGGGUCAUGAGUUCAAGCCCCACGUUGGGGUA
rnacentral:tRNA from 1 species